rnacentral:tRNA from 1 species
CAAAUUAGAGCUUGAAUAAGUAUUUCAUUUACAUUGAAAUGAUAUUGAUUAACAAUUAAUUUGA